rnacentral:rRNA from 2 species
AAAUUGAAGAGUUUGAUCAUGGCUCAGAUUGAACGCUGGCGGCAGGCCUAACACAUGCAAGUCGAACGGUAACAGGAAACAGCUUGCUGUUUCGCUGACGAGUGGCGGACGGGUGAGUAAUGUCUGGGAAACUGCCUGAUGGAGGGGGAUAACUACUGGAAACGGUAGCUAAUACCGCAUAAUGUCGCAAGACUAAAGAGGGGGACCUUCGGGCCUCUUGCCA